rnacentral:ncRNA from 2 species
AUCGUUCAUCUUCUAGAGCCUAUCAAUAAACACGUUUAGGCAUUGGAAGACGGAAGUAGGGAAGCUCCCGAAGGAACGCGCC